AUACUCUGGUUUCUCUUCAGAUGCCAUGAAUCUUUCAUCUUUUACCAAGGAUUUCCAUGGAAGGGACCAACUCUGAAUCUUUGCCCAAUGUUUUGAGAUCUGGAAAUAGAAA
rnacentral:snRNA from 1 species